GUCGUGUUUUUUUCUCUCUUCUGUUUUUUAGGGAAACUCGGGUUCUAGAAAGAUUGGAAUGGUAAAUUAAUUUUAUGGUUGGAGAAUGGUUGUUUUUAUGGGGUCUUUUGUGGUUAGAAGCCCAUUUUGAAAGGUAAUGGUUCAAAUGUUUUAUCAAGGUCCCCUUUGUGGUUACAAGAUAUUUGUCUUUUGGAUAGAAUAUAAAAUGGGAAGAAGACAUGAAAUGUACCGAAUCAUUCUUGUUUGUUUUCACAAUUAGUCUACAUGUGUCACUUCAUAUCUUGAUUCUAAAAAUUGUAAGAGGUUUAAA
rnacentral:lncRNA from 1 species